UGAUGAAAACACUCUCUGAGGGCUUCGGC
rnacentral:piRNA from 1 species